CAUUUAAAUAAUGCUGCAGCAGCUCCGGUUUUUAUGUUUCACCUGGAAGGUGAAGACUGCGUUGUCUGAAAUGUCAGAGUGGUAGAAGGACUGUUCCUGACCACUGACUUUCUGGCAUUUUACUGCAGCAUCAACCAGGUGCCUGCUUCACUGUCUGCAAUGGAGGAUCAGCUACCUACGGAGUAGAGGCUACUAUGGAGUAACUGCGAACGUUGGACAAAGCGAUGGGCCCUUAAGAGCUCCUGGCUUGUCUGACAGACUGACUUUCUCCCUGGCCGCACCCUCCGCUCAAGCCAUACUGACUUUUCCAAACUGCCUCAGCUCCAUUCGUUUUGUAUCUUUAAUGUGUUGUUCAUUGAUGAAUGAUGUAUUUUGUUAACAAGAGGACCUCAAUGGAAAUGCAUUUCUAAACGUUGUGUUAUCAUAUAUCAUACUUAAGUACAAAUGCAUGUCUCAAGCUUCCCGUCACUCACCAGGGCCAUGAUGAUUUGGACGAGACUAACGAGUCGAGGCAAAGAACCAAUGGUUGUGCCUGAGUCUUAUCACCUCUCAACUAGUUGAACUUGAACUUGUUGACUGAUGCCAAGGCGUUGGCUGUUAAGAAGAAGGAAACAGCUGUGGACCAGAAGACUGCAGACAAGGCAGCACUGGCCCACACCUGUCCUGUCUGUCAGAUGCAGACCUGAAGACAUUCAAGCAGCACUUUGAGAGCAAGCAUCCCAAGACUCCAAUGGUCCCAGUACUGGUUGAUGUGCAGACCUAAGUGACCACACACACUCAAAUGGACCUACAGCUGAGAAACACAAUUACCAUGAUUUAAAUGCUGCUUACUGAGACGGAAUGACGUCGAAGGACACACACUGAGAACCCGAGUAUGACUGGACAUGAGCCGGAUAUUUGUGACAACGACCUGAAAGGCGUUCAGAAGCACACCAGCACGCCAUGUUAUGUUUAUUCCAUGGCCAACCAUCCCUUCAGUUACCGCUUAUUCCACACUAUGCCUUUAAUGCCCCUUACUCCCUCAACUUCGACCUUUUUUGAAUCUCUUUGAAUCUUUUUUAUCUCUAUAAAUCCACCCUACCUUCACCCGUUUUCCCUAUGCUGCUUCCUUCACUUGUCCUCCUGAUUUUGAUAACAUCGAGAUUCAAGAACGUUUAAAACU